rnacentral:rRNA from 1 species
UACUCCUACGGGAGGCAGCAGUGGGGAAUAUUGGACAAUGGACCAAGAGUCUGAUCCAGCAAUUCUGUGUGCACGAUGAAGUUUUUCGGAAUGUAAAGUGCUUUCAGUUGGGAAGAAAGAAAUGACGGUACCAACAGAAGAAGUGACGGCUAAAUACGUGCCAGCAGCCGCGGUAAUACGUAUGUCACGAGCGUUAUCCGGAUUUAUUGGGCGUAAAGCGCGUCUAGGUGGUUAUAUAAGUCUGAUGUGAAAAUGCAGGGCUCAACUCUGUAUUGCGUUGGAAACUGUAUAACUAGAGUACUGGAGAGGUAAGCGGAACUACAAGUGUAGAGGUGAAAUUCGUAGAUAUUUGUAGGAAUGCCGAUGGGGAAGCCAGCUUACUGGACAGAUACUGACGCUGAAGCGCGAAAGCGUGGGUAGCAAACAGGAUUAGAUACCCUGGUAGUCCACGCCGUAAACGAUGAUUACUAGGUGUUGGGGGUCGAACCUCAGCGCCCAAGCAAACGCGAUAAGUAAUCCGCCUGGGGAGUACGUACGCAAGUAUGAAACUCAAAGGAAUUGACGGA